rnacentral:lncRNA from 1 species
AACAGUGAAAGAUUUAAUACCCACAUGACAAGGGCCUUCCAGACAUGGUCCAGCUGGGGUCUGAUGCUGAUUUGGAUAGAUCCAUGGCAAACUGGUGAAGAAAUUUUGGUCAGAGAGAUGAAGUAGCUCUGCCAGUACACAGCAUGGAAUUGAAAGCAAUGGGCCUGGCACUGACUGAGAGGUACUCACAGCUUGGGGCAGACUCCCAUUUGGAGAUGGGAUCCUGAAGAAGCCUGGAUGUUUGUGAUGGCGGUCAACAGAGCUUCCAGAAUGGUUCCCUGGAUCGGUUUGAUGAAGCAGGCCUCCAUGUUGUAAACUGUCUCAUGGAGAGGCCCAACUGGCAAGGAACUGAGGAAAGCCUCUGGCCAACAGCCAGUGAGGAGCUGAAUCCUGCCAACAACACUGAGAAAGUUUGGAAGUGGAUCCUGCCCCAGUUGAACCUUCAGAUGGCUGUGGUCUCAGCUGACAUCUUGAUUGUAGCUUUGUAAGAGACUUUGACCCAGAGGACUCAGGGAUGGAUAAGCUGAGGAUUGGAGAGGUGAGGUCAGUGCAGCAGUCCCACAGCACACCAGAGCUGGAUUUGAACCCAGGUGCAUUUGCAUGGCUUCUGGCUCCUCUGUGGACUGACAGCCUGUGUGGGCCAGCGCUUCCCUUCUCUGGGACUCAAUUCUUCCACUUAUAAAAUGAGGGGGUUGGACCAGAUGACUUUUUAAGAGUCUUCCCAUCCCUGGUAUUCCCUGAGUCGCCAUCUUGGAAAUUCUGACCUCAUUCCUGCUUUGUGCAGCUGUUUAUUUGCUUGUCUCUCUUACACUGUGGAGCUGUGGAGCAGUUCAGGCCAGUCUUGCUGGGAUAAAGGCAUAGCUUCCUCUGUGGCCUCUGGGUUUGAGAAGGUCUCCGAGAAUCCUCACUCCACAGAGGACAUAGCAUCUUUUUCGGAGCCCUCCCACUGGCUCGAGAGGGAACUUGUAAUUUCGUUUUAUUUUUGGUUUUCUCUCUCUUGCUCUUUUUACUGGAGUAAGAUAUACAUAAUAUAAAACUUACCAUUUAUCUAUUUUCAAGGGACCUAGAUGCAGUCGUCUUCAAGUUCCAUAGGAGGGCUGUGGCUGACCUUGUCUCGUCUGAUAAACCACUGAAGAAGAAUGCUGUGUAUCUAUCUAGUGGGGCCUUCUAGGGAACUACGGGGGGCAAGGGCAAGUUCAUUGGCCUGUCAUUACUGUUUCCUAAUCUAGGGAGCCUCUCAGGAAAGACUCCCCUGAAGCGAUUGGUCUUCUCUGGCUCGGGCCAGGGGCUGAGGAGUGACGCUGGGUGGAGGCAACACCCAGGGAGAUAGGAAGCCUGUUCUGUGGGGCUUAUCUCAGGACUGUGAGGCAACUGAAGACAGAAGCCAUGAGAGGAGAAGUUUGGUAAUCUCAUCU